UGAUCAAACUCUUCGCUUCUUUAAGGUUCCUGGUACCGAAGCUCCUUUCACUGGCUGUGUCAAGCGUGAUUUGGUAAUGUAGGUUAACACCUCUGUAAAAGGUAUUAAUAAAUUGUGGUUCUGAAUACCCAUGGUGGGGACAUUCAAGUUGGUAGCUCUUGAAUCUCUCCCAGGCGUUUCUGAAUAAUUCCUGGGGAUCUUGCCGGAAUGUGGAAAUUUUCUUCCUUACAUCCCAGUAACGCGAAAAUGAAAAGAGUUUACAGCGACUGUACUCGUCAUUCAUCAUAUCUUCUGCAUAUUUGAUGUUAUCGUGUGGGUGCGCUGAAACGGUUCCCCGGAUUUCUUAGUAUCGUAUUUUGGUAGUAUAAUGGAUGACCUAUUGGAAUAGGUCCUGCCAGGGUUUAAGUAGUCUUGCAAAGGCAAUUUUGUUUCUUGAUCUCUUUUUGGGUUAGAAUUAAUUUUAACAAGGAUCGCAGUCCCCUGUUCAUUUAUGAUUUGGUUAAUUGCAUUGCUUAGUUGACCUUUAGGUUCACCUAGGACUACUUCCUCAUUAGCAUGAUUGGUAAGAGAAAACUUACCUGCUUCCGGCUAGGUAUCAUCGAUCGAUUUUUGUAGGAAAGCGUCGAUUGAUGUUUUCGUCGACUCGUCGCUCGAUGUUGUUGUCACUUCGUCGAUCGAUGUCCGGCCAAAAUCCAUGUCCUUCCUCUUAAGUACCUGUGUCAGCAGGGUAAGAGUAAAAACUUUAGCAAAUUCAGUAACAAAAUCUAUACUAAAUUCAAAACUUAACUAGUGGUAAUAAGAAAGAGUCCCCGACAACGGCGCUAAAUUUGAUCACUCAAAUUACCCUAAGGAGUGAAUUACUCUCUCAAAUAAAAGGUUCAGAUGUAGUACUUAGGGAUCAAAUCCACAGAGACUCUAGGAUUACACAAUAGAUUUAUUGCUCAAUUGGUUUGAUUUGAGGUUGUUAACAGCUGGGGGAAAUAGCUAGAGUCAUGUAUAUUUUCAGGUAUGAUAAGUACAUAACUUAAUUUGGGUUUUUAGGGGUUUAUUGAUAUUAAUUAUUUUUGAACUCAAACUCAAGUAUAAUCAAUUAGAUUAUCUAAUCUGGAUCUCAGAUUUCAACUCUCGUAUGUUAAUCACGAGAAAGUGUCGAUCGAUGAUUCGUAAAGAAUAUCGAUCGAUACACCUUUCAAAAUAUCGAUCAACAGAACUAUCGUUGCAACGAUCGACACUUCUUCCAGAAAACUUUACAGAUGAGUUUGAUUAGUGUAAUCUAACUUACUAGACCAACUCUCAUGUGUAUCUAGUCAGUUAGAUCAUACUAGUUUAUUUUCAGGUAUUAAGUCAAGCAAUAGCUUAAUCUCAAUUAAUCCGAAGAUUUAAGUUUAAAGGGUGAUAAAUACUAAACUUAGCUUUAAGAAGAACAAUAUUUUUUAACACCCUAGCAAUAGUUCAAGUUAGCAUUACAUGUAUCAACGUAUUGAGAAACCUAAAUCUUACAGUAAGGACUACUCAGACAUAUUCAUAGCGCACAUGAUUAUGAUGGUCUGAACAAUACUUAAAUAAAAUGAAUAACAAGAGUAAGCAAUAAAGUAAAUGAAAGUAAAAGGAGUUCAAGAUCUUCUAUGUUUUGCAGUUCAGAUCUAUUUCUCCAAUCCUAAGCUCUCUCUCCCUCCAAUGGUGGUUUGUUGCUUCUCUCCAAACUAGGUCUAAAAGGUCUCUACGCAAGUCUGCCUCUAAAAUAAUACAAAACCCUAAUAAUAUAGCCUAACAAGCAGCCAAGGACUUAGAAUGUAAUUAUUGAAACUUUUAUGAAACUUGCAAUCUUCUAAUUUGUCAUUAACUCGCGGGUGGCUUCGCCGUCGAUCGAUGAGAAGAGCUUUCCAUCGAUCGAUUUUGCUUGGUAAUCGUCGGUCGAUAUUCUGAUAAAUAUUAUAUACCUCUAAAGAAAAUUAAGGCCUUUUACCCUUUACAAACUUCCGGGAAACUCAGGAUCCGUGCCUCUCCAAGUUUCCAAGGCUGCAUGUAGAAACCCGUUAAAAAAAAAUGGUCGAGUAUUUUUGGGCGGUCGAGUUGCGGGUGAUCAGAUUGUUCUUUUGUGAGCCAUGGGUCAAUUAUGCCACUAGACCAUGGUUAGAAAAUGUGGUAGACUGAUCCAAAGGACGUCUUAAGCAUGACAUUGUUGGAAGCACGACAUGAAGACCCGAAGUUGGGCAAAAGCCCUAAUUUCGGUAUUAUGAAAAUUUUCGAGGAAGCCGGAGGCUCGGGACAUAUUUUCCCUCAACUUCAGAGAUCAAAUGGAGACUAUUAAAAUUGUUCAGAGCAUCAGAAAAGGCGUAGAAAAAUAUUUGGGAUUGAUCGUGGGACGAAAAUUCACCAGAAGAGUCAAAAUCUGACGAACAGGCCGAGAAGCUCGAGGUGGCUCGUUGCAUGGAAUCAGAACGUGGUGUCAACUAUUCAGCAAGCUCAGUGUCUACAGAAGCUCGAGGUGUCACCGUGCAUGGAAGCUGCACAUGCAGCUUGACAUGUAGAAGCACGAGGUGGAUCAACCAAGCACGAGGUGUCUCCGCGCAUGCAACCGAAGCAUGCGGCCAGCCAUGUGUAUGAUGCUGUGGCGCCUUGCAUGAGGUACAGUCAUGCAGCCUGACAUCUGGGAGGAGUAGUGGCGUCCUGCAUGUGUCCUGGACAUGCAGCCAGCCAUGUGGAGCAUGAGGUGCCACCGUGCAUGCGUCCGAAGCCAUGCAAAGCAACACACGGACGGCCACCAACCUGAAUCUGAUUGGCUGCUGUCUUCUAUAGAUACCCCACGAACCCUGCUCAUUUCAACACAUCCAGCCCUGUCCAAACCAAGUUAAAAACGUGAAAGAAAAGUAGAAAAAGAAAGCAAGAGUUUCCGAUCUUUUUCGAGAGUUUUAGAGAGUUUUGGAGGUCAGUUCUCUACUGAUUUCGAGUCAGCGCCUAGGGACGGUUCUGUCCAACUGAAUUCGUCCAGACCACCCAGUUCCUUUGAUGAUCAAGUGGAGGUGAUGUCCAGAGUUAGUUCAGUUCCACGGUUUCAGAUCAGUCGAAGUUCUGCUCGAUACUCCGCCGGGAAGUCCGAAGAACUGUCCAGAAGCUAAAGGAGGUUCUGUCCAGAUCAGUCUGUCGAGGCCUGUCAGUUUCUUCAUGGUGAAGCCGAGGUUCUUUCCAAGUAGAGUCCAGUCCACUCCAGUCAUGUCGUCAAUUGGGUUUUGGCAAAGGCCUCUCCGAUCAACCAGCUGCUUAUCGGCAAAGAACACUGCGAGUUAUGAUCAAUUGAUUGCUGACUUGUUUUUAUGCAGGUUCCCGUUACUUGGAAGUUGGAUCAUGGCAGGAGGCCAGGUCUAAUUGAGUAACAUUUUGGUUAGUUAAUAGUUGAGUAUUGGUUGAUUGAGUUGAUAGCAUGCUUAGUUAUUGCUUGGGAAUCAUAGCAGCAUGCUAAUGGUUAGGUUGAUUGGUUAGUUAGCGAAUGCUGAAUGCUUGCUUGUUGUUUGAGGUUAGUCAGCUCUUGGUAAGGGAGUGACUAACUGGUUGAGUUGUUUAGUGAUAAUAUUGUUGUUAGUGUUGUAGAGUUAGAGUGUGAUGCCAUAUAGCUUGUGUGUAACCCACCAUGCUAGGCAUGUUUGAGGUGGAUUAGUGUUUCCUCGACCUCGUACCCAGUGGGUUUAAGGAAACCCCUUAUUCGCUGGAUCAAGAACACUCAGAGAGACGGUGUCAUGGCCCAUGGCUGAGUGGUUACACGGACGGGGUAGUGACCGGCAGUGACCCGACUGUACUGGGGCUGUCUCGUGGUGACCCGACUGUACUGUGGGCCGCGUUCGGUUGAAAGUUCCUUCUUCUAGUCUUUGUGAUAGGGAGAUAGGAUAUUGCCGAGGAUAGAGGAGGAACACUAAGUCACAAAGGGCCCUUGUUAUAGUGUAGAUACUGUAGAGGGUUGUUGAACCCUAGAUUGAGUUGAGUUUGAGUUUAAGUGGUUAGGUAGUCAUUAGCAGUUAUGAUUUCAUAUCAUUAAUUAUCUAGCUAUUAUUAUCUACUGCAUAUUUUUGAUAUUUCUUAUCUAUUGAAUUGGAUUGAUUUGUUGUUAGGUGAACCUCUCGCUUUAGAUUGUUUGGGGUGGGAUAGCGAGGGGUUGUAUUUGUUAGUUGGGGAUCAUAAUUCACUGAGUAACAUUAGGUUACUCAUCCAACUCCGUUGUCCUUUUUGCAAGUAGUUUAGGUAUGGAUGAUCGGAUAGCUGGUGUUGGACGUUAGGACCACCGGUGUAGAUUUUCAUGCCUUUUGUUAACGGUAUUGUGGAUUUGUAUUUACUUAACUCGAUUUUGGCAUUAGGCCGGGACCGGUCUCGAAUUAUAUCAAUGUUUGGAUAUUUCUCGAAUCAAUAAAAUAAUUGUUUUAUAUGCGCUACAAGAGUACUCUGAUAUUUCACUAGUCCGGUCUAACACAACGUUACGUCGUAGUACGGGUUCAAAAGCUUUAGGCCUCAAUCUAACAGAAAACGCUAACUCUAGGUACGGGUUGCAAAGCCUUGUGCCUUCACGCAGCGGGAUGAGUUAGUGGAUGAACUGGUCUAGGUCAUGGAGUAAAUUUUGUGACUCUGGCCAGAUCGUCCCUAGCCUGUCGCGUAGAGCUUCCAGACAAUGGUGUUGGGUUGGACGGUCAGUCAUGUUCUUGUUUGAUUGUUGUCUGGCCGGUUGGCUCAAUCAUCUCCAACCCUGGGUGUUGGACGGUCGAUCGGUCAUGUUCUUGUUUGAUUGUUGGCCGGUUGAUUUACCAUAUGUCUAGGACGGUUUGGGGGUGUUUUACUGCACCCCUCGACAAGUUGUAAGAAACGGGAAUUCCCAGUGAAGGAGUUAAGAAUACGCCAGUCUACAAGAAAGUAGGUUCAAGGCACGUACCUUCCUGAACUUCUACGAAAGAGAUAACUGAGAGAAAAGAGGGGGCAAACGAGUUAACACUCAACCCAAGGGGCAAACAUGCGUCAACAAAUCUUGUUGGCUUGCCCACUAAAGGGAGGAUUCAAGACAAAGAGACGGGUAAUUUAGUGACAUCCAAGAAACGCUGAGAGUGGCUCACCCAAGAGGGAGCAGAAAGCAGCCAGAAGAAGUUACUAAACGACAUCGACAAAAAGAGAAUAUCUACAGAUCCUCAUGUGCCAGAGCACUAGUUCCAAGGAGCCUCCAGGCUCUCAAGGAUAAAUUUACUGGUCCUCAAAGAGAAGUAGCCUCCACGCCUCAACAAAGAUCUCCAUUCCUCUAAGUUCCUGUUACAGGUCUAAGGACCCUGUAUCCAGCUGACGAAUGUUAAACUCAUUGAAGCAUCAGCAAGUCCAUCUCCGUCGAACCCUACAUCACUGGGAGAAACCUACGUGAGUUACAAGACCAGAAAGCAAAUCUUGUCGUCCACUGAAAUACAAGAUCAAGGUCUCGAAUCCUACAAGAUCACAUUCGAACAGGUCCAUAACCUGGAAGUACUCAUCAAGACCCCGAUCUACCAUCUGGAAAAAAAAUUCUCCUCCAGGUUCUAACACGGUCCAUGCCUAAGAAGAAUCAGAAAAAGGGAAGCAGCAUCUUGUCCACUCUAAUCAUUCUGAGAUGGAAUGACUCCGGUUGGCCAAACUACACAUGUUAUCUCCCGCCUUCACCCAUGAAAUCAAAAGAUAAGGAGCAAACUAUUGGGAGUAAAUAAUUUUGGAAAAUACUACUUGUUUCCGGGCAGGAUUCUGGUCUCCAUACACCCGCAUGAAGAAGUUCCGACUCCGACUCCGACUACGAAGCUCCGGCUCCGACCUCUGCUUCUAUCCUUAACACCAAAUAAAAAUGAAAGGUAAAAACUUUCCAAACUCUUACGCAAACGCAAUGUACUGUAUUCAAACUCAGAGUUUGUACAUGGAGCGACAAUAACAAUGGGUAUGAGACUUAAGGCAUGAAUAGGUCUGAUCAACCUGAGUAUGCUUGUCAAAACUACCUAUAACCUCGGUAUAUGCCUAGAGCCAUAUCGGGGCCACAUAAGCAAGAAUACUGUGACACCUCCGGGUUAAUUCAGGGAGUUUGCAUAUUGCAUAAGUACUGCCACAUGCAAGGGGCAAUACAUAAAUUCCUGCUUCUCCAGACGUGGAAAGCAGAAAAAGCCUGGCACUUGGGUUUCCGAAUCCAUAACCAGCACCCUUAAGUCUGAUAGUGGCCUUCUACAGAAAGCAGCAUGUAGCACGGGAACUCGAUAGUGACCAGUUUCCGAGCGGUAGAAUGCGAAAUCCCAACAGGUAUCGGUAGUUGCCUCACCUAGGAUGGCAGAAUACGGUCCCUUAAAAUACAAACCAAAUACCCUUGGGUUAUUAAGAACUUUCGGGUCCCCAUGCAGUCUCCGGGUCCUGAAAAAAUUUCUUCAGGACCUAGAAUAGGUAAACCUCUAGGUUCUUUAUAACCCUCGGGCCCAACAACGACCUUAGGGUCUGAAGGAACCUUUGGGUUCCCAAACGACCUCUGAGUCAAGAAGCCAUUUCCGGGUUCAAAACGACCUCAGGGUCCUAAAUACGACCUCAUGGUCUAGAGGAACCUCCGGGUUUCCAACCGACCUCCGGGUCCCUAAACGACCUCAGGGUCCUAAAUACGACCUCAGGGUCUAGAGGAACCUCCGGGUUCCCAAUCGACCUCCGGGUCCCAAAACCACCUCAGGGUCCUAAAUACGACCUCAUGGUCUAGAGGAACCUUCAGGUUCCCAAUCGACCUCAGGGUCCCUAAAUGACCUCAGGGUCCUAAAUACGACCUCAAGGUCUAGAGGAACCUCCGGGUUCCCCAUUGACCUCUGCGCCCUCACUCACCUCUAGGUUCUAAAGGUGAUCUCCGGGUCUAGGGCAGCCUCUGGGCUCCAGAAACGACCUUCGGGUUCCAACAACAUCUCCGGAUUCUGAAGCAGUACCAUGGUUCUGUAGGAUCCCAGGAUCCUACCAUUAAAUCUUCGGUCCCUAAGAGAGACCUGCUAUCUCAUCGGAAAAAUUCACGAGUAACCUAUCUACGGAAGGUGGAAUGUUACCCAUCCCUAUACUCCAGGUUCACGAGUAUAACACAUCUUGUUCCAUCUUUAAGACUUCUCAAAGGAUAGCUGGAUGACACAAAGGAAGACACUGCUCCAAAAAGCCUACCUAGCAAUCAACGAGAGUCUACCCGACGAAGACGACUUCAAGUCGAAAAGAUAUAUGGGAAGGUCCCCUUGAAGGUCCACACAACCAUCAGGUUCCCAAACAAAAGUCUUUAUAACCUAAGGGUCCCUGGACUAAGGUCCAUACAAGCAACAGGUUCCUUGACUAAAGUCCAUCCAGCCUCCGGGUUCCUGGAUGAAAGUCCAUACAACCUCCGAUCACAUCCUCGAACCUAUGGGUUUCAGAAAGAUCUAUCUCUAAACCUCCAGAUUUUGGGAGAGCAUGCCUAGGAUCCUCUGGGUUCAAUGAAAGCACGACGCAAGGUCAUCCCAACAUUGAUGGUGGCUACCUCCAUGGGGCAGAUUGCAGUACAACAUAGUUGAGAAUGGCCAAGGAUCAAUGGCAGAGUUCUACCAAUGUUUCCACCUACUUUAUUUGGCAUGGAAAUUACUGCUCGCGCAAACAACAUGUCCAAGAGAUCUACUCCGGUACCAAGAAUCAACUAGGUUAUCUCCAGGCACCAAGACGAACAUACUGACUGUCCCCUCUGCCAAAAGUCAAGGUACGAUCCAGAGACGAGGCAAGAAGCUACAGCUACAACAUCAACACGAAAGGAGCAUCAAGUAUGCUAAACGCAGCAAGGAAACAGGUACGGAGACCCUCCUGGAAGUCCAUUACAGCCUUUACAAGCUCGAGAGGCACAAGCAAGGCCAGAAGAAUCAAGCAUGAGGAUCCUCAGUUUCGGCCUCCAGGGCUUAUUCAACCUCUUCGUCCUCCUGAUCCUUAGCCUCGCCAAGAUUCUCCCUCUCAGAAUUCCUGGGUACUGACCCAUACAGUCUUCCACACGAUUCGUGGAACCAUAUAGCCCUGCCUGAGCUGAAGCCGAGUAUAGCUACAGAAGCCGCACAAGCACCUGGGGUAUGAUCAGAAGCAUCACCCUUUAUGCCGAUGUUCCCGGCUUCUCCAUCAAACUUUCGACCAACUCCGGCUUAAAUCUAAGAGAAAGAUGAAGUAUUCCAAUACAUACGACCUCCCUUACCAAAUUGGAAAUAUUCUAUUAUCUAAGGAUAUAAUGAAUAUUUUCAAAUUCUAAGAAGGGAGGCACGACCUUUUCUAUAAAUAUAGGUUUCUAAACCUAAAGAGGGGGUGGGGGGCAAGACGUCAAUAACUAGAGCUCACCAAUUCUACAGCCGCCAAGGCAAGAUUCUACACAUAGAAGACCUUCUUCUCGGACAAGCCUAGGAGAGGCUGAUCCCGACGGUUACUAUCGACCAGGGGAAGAUAUAUGUUCCCUGCAGCACGUCUACAACUCUACUGACUGGCUGAGGCCACGAUCUCAAGCUCAUCAGCAAGGUCCAUCCAUGCUCACUGAAGCACAUUGAUGCUCCUUGCUCACUGUAGCAUAUCGACAGGGUUACCAUCUGUUUGGGCUAUGUGCCCCCUAGAAUGGAUGACUCCAACAACCUACAGAGAUACGUGCUCCCUAGGCCAUGUGCCUCCAUUAAGGCUACGCGCCUCCAUCAGGCUAUGUGCCUUCAUCAGGCUACGCGCCCAUCUAGGCUCCGUUCCUCCACAUACAUGAACUACGAACGGCUUAAUCCCUCACUGAAGGGUACGUAGGAAAUCCCCAUUAAAGGAUGCAGCUAUAAACCCAAACACCUUCUAUGGUUCCACCCCUAGACGCUUAGGGACCGCCCCUGGUGGUCGGAACCAUCAACUACAGAUCAGGAGGCAUCCAAGGACCGACCAUGGAGUCGGGCCCAUCAAUUGCAGACCCAGAAGACCCUGCGAUCUUCACUACAGACAAGUGGUCCCUGCCUAACAGCCGACCUUUCUUACUGCUACUAAGGCACUGACGACAUAUACCAGCCCAUACCCGUAUGACACUACCCUCAGAGCAGGAUCUCCUGGCUUAUCCACGACCGAAGCUGGAGAAAGUAUCACGAUGACCAGUCUACUUCUUCCUAUCAUUCUGUAGUGCUGAGCACGAAUCACUUGUACACAAAAAUCCCCUAACAGAAGGUAAACCUUAUCUAGAUUUAUUUAUCACAAUUUUCUCUCUCUAUUUCGACCCUAGAGUAGUUAGUAUUAGUUACUAGUUAUUUAAAAAAAAAUCCGAAAUUUAUUACUUAAAUAGGACUUAGGAUUUAGUUAGGCGGAAUCUGAACAGGACUUGGUGACUACAACCAUUAAGGCUUGCUUCAUAAAGAUUCCAAAUAAAGAAUUCGAACAGGACUUGGAGGCGGCAAUCUUCAAGGCCCGCUUCACAAAGAAUUCUUGGAUAUAGGUCAAAAAGAAGUGAACAUGGCUUGGUGGCAACCACCAUUAAGACUUGAUUCAUGGAAGCCUAUCCAAUCUUGGUCACUGAUCCUGCAAUGGAAGCAGACUUUGACUCAAGAGAGAAAUUAUGAACUAUUUUUACCUGCAGUUCCUAAUGCACUUUUAUAUAUAUGCUAAGAAAUGAGGUUAGUAGAGGGGAAUGUCAGACAUUAUUUGCUAAGUUCUAGACUAGUUGAAUUUGGUUCCUAAGCUAGGAUAUUGCAUAAUGUGCUUUUGUGAUUAGGACUUUAGUUGUGGUUUGUGAAAUUGUAGAGGUGAUGAUUUCUAUGUUUGAUAUCUGUAAGUCCCUGCUGUUUUCAAACCUCAUUCAGAGAGACUGCUUGUUUGUUUUGCUUGAGGACAAGCAAAAGGGUAAGUUUGAGAGAGUUGACAUACCAUGGAUUUGAUCCAUUUUCCCCCAUGGUAUAUAAGUAUUUUACUAUCUGUAUACUAUAUAUCCUAUCCUAUUAGGUAUGUUUUCAGGUUCAGAAGUAUCUUGGAGUAAAGUGAUGAUUAUGGAGCAUUUAGGAGCAUAAAUGAGUAUUCAUCCGAGCUGAUCAUUAGAGGUCGAUACGAAGAAGACACAAUCGAUCGAUGCACAUCCAGUGUCGUCGAUCGAUACAGAAGAGAAGCCUCGACGAUUGAAGAUUGAGAUCAAUUGAUGUACAUUCUUUACCAUCGCUCGAUGUCGAGACGCGGAAGCACGACAUGGUUCCAGCCAACCUUAAACCCAAGACUUCACCAAAUUACAAGAUUACCCCUGGCGAGUGUUUAACCUAAUAGAUAUAUACUUGCCUAAGUGUUAGGAGGCAAGAGAGCUUUUGGUCAUCUUUGUAUUCUUAUUUUCAGUAGAGAGUUUUAGGAGAGAAGAUCAUAGAGAGAUUUGUGAUUGGAACUCCAUUGAUUCAUCUAUUCUAUUCUAUGCAGUUUUUAUUUAUAUUUUGUGUCAUGAAUUGCUUAGCUAUAUCUGAGUAGUUCACUACAAGAAAACACAAGUUUUACGAGGGCGGCUUUCCUCGUGACUUCGUCGUAAAAGCAGUUUUACGAGGAAUUAGCGAGGAAACCCGUUUCGUCGUUAUACGUUUGUCGUAACGCAUAUAUCCUCGCUAAUUCGUCGUAAGUUAGCGAGGAAAUGAUUUCGUCGUAAAAGCGAAGAAGAUUAUUUCUUCGUAAAGACCACGUAAAGCUUCCACGUAAGGACGUCGCUAUAUUUCCUCGUAAAUACCUCGAAAGGUGUUCCUCGUAAAACACACGUAAAUAACUCGAAAGUAAAUACUCGUAAAGUAAACGUAAAUACCUUGAAAGUUUUCCUCGUAAAAAACACGUUAAGUUUCCACAUUAAUUCCUUGUAAACUUUUCCUCGUGAAACCCUCGUUAAGCUUCCACGUAAAGAAGUCGCAAAAUUAGCUACGAAUUUACUUUGUUUCGUUAUUUUACAGAAAUAUAAAAAAUUAUAAUUAAAAAACUAAUUAAAAUUAUUUAAAUUAUUAAUAAAAUUAAAAUUCUAAAAUAAUCAAAACCAAAAUAUUUUAUAUAUAAAUAAGUUUUGAAUUUAUAAUACAAGAACCGCCAAUCAAAUAAAAAAGAACUAAGAGCUAGUCGUCGUGAAUCGCCCGGUAGAAUUCACCACUCCUCCUCGCGACAUCCUCCUCGGCGUGUGUGUCGUCGGAUGUUGACUCGCCUGGAAUAGGAUUUUGUUGUCGCAUGUUCCUCAAAAAGUUCUCCCAGUCCGGAUUUGUGGCCGCUACGACGUCCAAGAAGCCCUCGAGUCCACCCACACGAGCUGUGAAUGCAGAUCGCGUCGUGGUCAACUCGUGACGCAGCUUAGUGGACUCUCUACGCAGCUCUUCGGACUCUCUACGCAGCUGAGAGACUUCAUCAUCCCGUCGCUGACCAUAAGACGAUGUCGCUCUCAGAACAUCGUUGACGGAACCAAUCCCCAACGUCCGUUCCCUUUUUUUAGGGACAACCUUAAAAACAAAAAAUAAAUAUUGUUAGUAAAAAUUUAAAGUUAAAAAUUAAAUAAAUAAUAAAAAAAAAAUUUUUAGAAAAUUUACCUCCUCGUAAAUCUUAUCCACUUCAGGUGUGGAUAAGGUGACGGGUAAUCCAUCGGUGGACUGCUGGGUCAGCUGGGUCUGGCGGUAUUCAACUCGAGCAACCAAGUCGUUGUAGAUUUGCUCGGACUUGCCAUCUAGAAAUACGCCCGCCUUGUUCUUGUGGGUCUUCUCGUAAAGUUCCACAAGAGAUGGGAAAUGUCCCGUCUCUUUGACCUAAAAAAUAUUUUAGAAAGUUAGAAUAUUAAAAUUUUUAAAUAUAUAUAAAAAAUUGUAUUUAAUUAAAGAUUUAAUUACCAUUUCCAAACGGACACCGGCGUGAGGUUUUUGGCCCGUAGUGUGAAGCAUCGGCCCGUUCCCGUGUUAUGGGAGUUAGAGCAAGACUGGGCGACUCUAAUGGAAUCAGGAAGAAGCCAAUAUCGGAUGAGGCCAUCCCACACAUCCGUGGUGAGCUCAGCGGGUUUCCCACGCUCAUACCCCUUCACGAUCCAGUCACCCUUCCAGUUGGAGACCGUGUCCAAUAAGCGAACUUUCGCCUUCGCGACAAACUUCUUCCUCACCGUCUCCGUGAUCCCCAAAGCCCAAUGAUAUUUUUGCUGUUGGAAAAAAUAUAUAAAUUAAUAAUUAGUUUUUUAAAAAGAAAUUUAUAAAAAUCAUGAAAAAAUUAAAGUAUAUAUAUAUUUAAUUAAUAGAAACUUACAGCGUAAAUUUUGAACCACGUCUUUCUGACGUAGUGAGGCGUCUUACUCCAGUUCGGAUGUGGCAUGGAGAAGUAACCUUUGAUCGUGUCAGUUACGUCCGAUGCAAGACAAUUGUCAACCCCAAACCUGGAAAAAAAAAAUUUAAAAUAUAAAUUAUUUUUUAAUGUUAUAAAAGAAUUUUAAACAAAUUGAAUAAAAAAAAUUAAUGUGACAUACCACAAAGUUCCGUCCGGUCGGUCGGGGCGAUGACUGGUAAACCUUCUCUGCCUGGCAGACGGAGAAUGUCCUCUACAGUGUACUGCGAGUAAGGAGCACUCGGAGGCACCAUCAAAUCGGGAUGAAUUUCGGCGGGCAUCGCCGGAGGUGCCAUCGGAGGAGGCACAGGAGGAGGCAUCGUCGGAUGAGCCAUCGGGGGAGGCACAUGAGGAACCGAUGGUGCACUAGAAGAAGGAGACCCAGAGACUCUCUGAGUGUACUGAGUCUCGGGGACAGUCUCCUGACCCGAAGAACCGGGAGCUGAAGUAGACGACGGGUCUAAACGGCUACCCAGCUCACCGAACAUCUCUCUGUAAUGGGCAGUAAGUCUACCUUUUCAAACCUGAGAAAAAAAUUUAAUUUUUUAAAUUUUCGUCAACAGUAUAUUUCCCAACAUUAUCCACCUAAUCAACACUAAAUAACAUAAGAUCCGUAAACCUAUCUAAAUUCCCUAUACUAACCACCUAAUCUAUCCUAAACUAACUAAAUUAGAGAGUAUUUAGAGAGGCUUACCAUUGCAACGAAACAGGGAGGAAAUGGAGAGGAAGUGGAGAGGAAGUAGAGAGGAGAGAAAGAGUGAGCGCUCGGGGGUAUAUAUAAGAUUACAUACCGUCGCAAAUUCCUCGUAAGUUUACGACGAAUUACAGAGGCCCGUGUUUUUUUUACGACGAAAUAGCGACAUAAUACAAAGGCCCGCGUUUUGUUCUGCGAGGAAUUUACGAGGAAUGACAAAGGCCCGUGUUAUUAGAUACGUGGACUUUACGACGAUUUAGCUUACGUGGAAUUACCGAGGAAAGCUUCCCUAUAAAUAUACCCGUAACUCUCCUUCUCAACCCACACACAAACUCCCAAAUCACACUCUAUCUAUCUCACAUCAUACUCCCAAAUCAAUUCCAAUUCAAAUUAUAAAUAUUUGA